rnacentral:rRNA from 1 species
AAUGAACGCUGGCGGCGCGCCUAAUACAUGCAAGUCGAGCGAGAAGACGUAGCAAUACGUUUGUAAAGCGGCGAACGGGUGAGGAAUACAUGGGUAACCUACCCUUGAGUGGGGAAUAACUAGCCGAAAGGUUAGCUAAUACCGCGUACGCUUCUUGGACUUCGGUUCAGGGAGGAAAGCGAUGCCGAGGGUAUCGCGCCCUUGGAUGGGCUCAUGUCCUAUCAGCUUGUUGGUGAGGUAACGGCUCACCAAGGCUUCGACGGGUAGCUGGUCUGAGAGGACGAUCAGCCACACUGGCACUGCGACACGGGCCAGACUCCUACGGGAGGCAGCAGUAAGGAAUAUUGCGCAAUGGGCGAAAGCCUGACGCAGCGACGCCGCGUGGGGGAUGAAGGUCUUCGGAUUGUAAACCCCUUUCGGAGGAGAUGGAAUGGGUACCAUUCGACGUACCUCCAGAAGCAGCCACGGCUAACUUCGUGCCAGCAGCCGCUGU